AAAGCAAGAAGGAGAAGAGGCAUUCGCGAUCUCCUCUCUCUCUCUCUCUCUCUCUUUUUCGCAUUCGACUUAGCUCCCCUCUUCGGUUCCUCUCUCUCUCAAGAGGUAAGCCAUGCUCCUUCUUCUCGGUUCGUCUUAAUUUGUGUUAAUUCGAUUUAAUUGCGUAGAUCAGUGUCUCUUUUUGUUCUCAUUCUUUUUGUUUGUGGUUUUGAUUUUGGUGUUACAUGCAUAAUGGAGUAUGGAUAUUUUCUACGAGAGAAACUCAUAAUAUGUUGAGUCGAGAGAAGCCUCGGGCUAACUGUCACACCUUGGUAAGGAAUGUCGCUAUGGUCCCAUCUCGAGUUUGAUAGCUUUUAGCUACUUGACUAGUGUGUUAUUAAACAUCAUGCGCUUGGAGUUUCCGGAUGAGUCGAAGCUCCAAGAGAAGUGUUUCAUAUUCAACUUUAUUGUUAGAGAUUUUGAACUCAAAAUAGAAAGCCUAUUCGUAUGCCUAUUUGUUCGAAUAUUUCAAGAUAAGUUAGGCACUAUCCCUUUCUGAUAUGGCGAAACCAUCUAUUAAUAAGAUCUAGAUAAAGGGGGUGUGCUCAUCUCACUUCAAUCUCAAGUGAGAGAGUUAGCUUUAGUAUAAAAGUCAUCGAUGCUUGAGUCUUGAUGAUAACCCUUGGUACAUAUCGGAUGUUGAACUCGUCUAGCUACUCGAUCACUUCCUGAGACGUCAAAUCACAAUAGAACCUACUUUGAAUGAUUGGUCAGUGAUCACUUACAUGAUAUGCGUUUGAAAAUAGAGACGAAGUUUUCUUAUCGUAAUACUAAAGCAUCUCAUACAAGUAAUCACCGACCGACCAACUCAAGUAGGUUGAUCCAAGCGCAUCUCCCUUAAUAAAAAAAAAAAGACCUAUUUUUUUAUUCGUUAUUUUUUUUAAAAUUCAGGAUAGAUGUCUCUAUUUUCAUUUUUCUUAGAUGAUCCGCAUAUUUUUUUCUAUCGCCGUCACUCUAUCAGGACGCCUCGAGACCCAACAUAGAGUCGAUGGUUGGAUGCAGACGUUUGAUUCCAUCUCGCAACGCGCGGAGGGGUUUCGAGGAGCAGAUCACCGGUGUCUCGAUAUCAUGUGGGAUUACGAUCCUGGAGUCUGUUGAUUCCAAGAAAUGUGUGUGGGAGUUCAAUCUGAGCCUUUCUCGAAGGACUUCCUUGAAGGGAUUCGAUUUGGUCCACAUAGAUGUUACUUGUAGCUCGUGUGAUAUGUGUUGUCUCCUAUUUUUCCCCCCUUUGUUUUCAGAUGGAUCUGAACGAGGUGAGGUGUGGCAUGAGAUACAGAGAUUCCGCGAGGUUAAAUAACAGGGACAUUCAUCAUGACGAGGUGACCAUUACGGCCUUAUCUAAAUUCCUUGUGCUGUAAUUUUUGCAAAUGGGAUCGCAAAUGUAAUGGUCCUCGCCGAGAUUCGUUUCUCCGAAAGCCCCAAGUUUGCCCUACUAAUACAUUGUUACGGGCAUCGUCUGCAUGUCCAUAUUGGCCAAUCCAAAGAACUUGGUAUUGGAAAUCAAAUCAUUGUGAGGUCUAUGAGUAACCAGCAUAUAUGAAGUCAGAUUUCAGAA